rnacentral:rRNA from 1 species
UACGGGGGGAGCAAGCGUUGUUCGGAUUUACUGGGCGUAAAGGGCGCGUAGGCGGCCACCGCAAGUCAGUUGUGAAAUCUCUGGGCUUAACCCAGAACGGUCAGCUGAUACUGCGGGCUAGAGUGCAGAAGGGGCAACUGGAAUUCUCGGUGUAGCGGUGAAAUGCGUAGAUAUCGAGAGGAACACCUGCGGCGAAGGCGGGUUGCUGGGCUGACACUGACGCUGACAGCGCGAAAGCUAGGGGAGCGAACGGG